GCUCAGUCGCGUCCGACUCUUCGCGACGCCAUUGACUGUACCCCGCCCGGCUCCUCUGUCCAUGGAAUUCUCCAGGCAAGAAUACUGGAGUGGGUUGCCAUGCCCUCCUCCAGGAGAUCUUCCGGACCCAGGGAUCAAACCUGUGUCUCUUAUGUCUCCUGUGCUGGCAGGCAGGUUAUUUUACUACUAGCACCACCUGGGAAUCCCUGAUCGUGUGUUAUUGUUGUUCCUUUUUAUAAUAUCUUUUUUUUUCUUCUUUUUUUUGAACCCCCUUCCCACCUCCCUAUAAUAUCAUUCAAAAUAUAAAAUCUUCAGAUUUUGUAGGUGCAGUUUGAAAUGCUUGAAAUAGCUAGUACUAAGAACUCAUUUCAAGCUUUCAUAUUUAAAGCUUUUGAGUAGAGCCAUCUGAAUGUACCUUCAUACAAAAAUAACUCUUCUGAUAGCUUGUUUUAUAUCUCUUCAACGGUAGUAUAUCUGGAGAUUCAGGCUUGUUCAUUUCUCUCUAGGCAUCCCUCUAAAAGAUAAAGAAAGAUGAGAAUACAGAUUGAGAUAAACUAGUUUAAGGUGAAACUACCUCUUGUUAUACUUUGUAAGUACUACUUUAUUAAUGUUGCUCUUUUGUGGAAGUUUAAGCCUUCUAAGUUACAAUCAGUGAAAAAAAUUUUGCCAGGAUAUAAUUGCAGAAAGUAUUUGAACUACUAUUUAGCACAUGAAGUGUUUUGGAGAGCUUCUCUUUCCAAAAGAUAGCCCCCUUUCUCCUUCAGAUAUGUCUCAUCUGCUAGACAUAAGGUUUCUUUCAAAUGGUAACAUGCCGUUUUAUAAUUACUACAGUUUAAGUUUGCAAAAUUUAAAUGUAAAUAGUUUGGUUUCAGUUCUACAAUUUAUACUAACCUAGUACGUUGACAUUUAUGGUAAUGAUGUAUGUACAUUUUCAGUUUUUUAAGGUUGAGAUUAGAAAGAAAAUCUCUCUUACAAAAUGUGCAUGCAGGUAGAAUAUUGGAAUUACUUUCCCUGCGGCAUUUCAUGCUUUAUGUUCUUAAACUUGUUUUCAAUUUCAGUGGUAGCUUACUUAACAAAUGCAGUAAGGUACACCAAGAUUCUGCUAAAUAUAUAAUUCCUAGUGAAUUCAGGGUCUGUUCUUGUGUCUUCAUAAAAUAAGAACAAAUCCAUUUCAUUUGGCACUGAGGAGAGAAACAGAUCAUUUCAAAAACUUAUAUUACAUAGAAGUGUUUCCCUAUAGACAUAAAUGUGGAUUGUUUCCAUGUUCGCCCACGAGCCCAAUUUUUAACAUGUGAGUUACUAAAAUUGGAAGAUAAAAAUAUUAAAAUAUAAUCCGUAAACAAAAUAGAAGGCAUAUUUUAUAUCUAUCUUCAAAUACUUGUGCUUGAGGAAAAGCAAGUUUAAAUUUGACUCUUCGCACAGAUAAGCUCAUUUUCUGUCUCCCUCACUUUCUACUCUGUUGCUACCUUAUAUGCAAGUCUUUCCCUCUGUCUGGUCAGUAUGUAUCCUUUCUUAACCUUCUUUGUCUUCCUUCAUAGCAUUUAUUGCAGCCUAAUGUAUAAUAUGAUUUAAUUAUAUAUAUUUUUCUCCUGUCUCACUAGAAUAUAAAACCUAUGCAGGCAGGGACUUUUUCUGCUUGACUUGUUACUAUUGACUUCUAUAAAUGUUAAUUGAAAAUUAAGUAGUAGGUAGCUAUAAGUUGUACCGGUCAUUUUAAAAGGUUUUGGGGCUGUGCCUCUCAAAGAGUAUUUCCUAAAUCACCAGCAUUAGAAUUGUGUUAAAGGCAGAGACCUUGGCCCCAGAAUAGCAUACUUAAAUCUGUUAACCCAGUAUCUCAGGGUGGGGAUAAGGAAGCUACAUUUUUAAUAAACUCCUAAAUGAUUUUAAUGCAAAAUAAAGUUCCAGGACUGAUAACUUCAGGAUAUAGUAACACUGUUUCAUGACUGAUUUCACCUCAGAAUUUGAAAUUUCUUUCAUUGAAGUAUUUUUUUUUAAUCACUGCUUUUAUACUUGUCAGCCUUUAGGCAGAAUGAAGGGAAGGUAGGAGAGAAUUAAGAAGCAGAUUUCAUAUAGUCAUGUGUUCUGUGAAAUACAUAGAGCUUGAAGAAGUGGUAACAAGUGAGGGAUAGUGUUGGGGGAGGGCUGGGGACACAGGAUACUAGGUGUUUGCAUUUCUAUUCCUUUGAAAAAGAAUGGAGAGACCUUGAAAGUCACAUGUUUAUCAUAGAAUAUUACACAGAGCAAUCUCUAAUUUAGAAUUAAAAUAUUCUAUGAGUAAUUCCUGUGUUAAAUAGUACCAGAAUUUUUAAAAGCCUGAAAUUAAAGAUCCAAGAUUCUAUUCCUGUCACUUUUAUGCAUUUAAGCCUAUUUGUGUGAUCUUACAUCAAAAAUCAGCUGUGGAUAGUAAUGGUAUUCUUUGUGUUUCUUAUUUGAUUUUGGGGAGCAAUGAAAAGAGAUCUAGGUUAGCUCUCAUAGCUUUGCUCUGCACUAUAUCAGGCAAAGUAAUGUACUAGUUGACCUUAUAGUCUUUUAUUUUUUAAAUUUUGUAUUUCUCUUUUAUAGUUCAGUUUGAGUUCCAAGCCUUUAUGAUAUUUAAAAAUUAGAGUUCUAAAACCCCCUACCCCAUACUGUAUGCAGAAGUGUGUGUGGGACUGUGGACUGGUGCCUACAUUUUAUCUAGGGAGAGGGUACAAAACUUUUUAUUAAGUCAGCAGAGGAGCACAGACCAAAAAAAAGUUAAGAACUGUAAUUUUAAGACACAGAAUUAACAAACAUUCAAUAAGUUAUGAUGAUGUUUGGUUAAAGUAUAGCAAAUUCCAAUUAAAUGAAGGAAGAAUUAGGCUUUUAACAGAAAUAACAGAAUUUGAAUAGUACCUGAAGAUAGUCUUACAUUAUGCCUGUGUUUAUACUAUUUGGUGUUCAGAGAGACUUGUUUAUUAAAUAGUAGUUUUGCUCUGCAUUAAAUUGAGAGGAAAAAUGUUUUAGAAAUAGCCCCCUUGGUAUUCUAGAACUCUGAAAGCGUUAACAUAUGACUUACUGUACUGAAGAUGUCUUAACUUUGGGAGUAAAGUGAGUUUAAUUCUGGUUUUGCCACCAACACUUCUGUUGAACUAGACAUUGACUUUCUCUGGAAUUCAGUUUCCAGUUGUUGCCAUCAAUGUCAUCAAAUUCAGUGCAAUUUCAAAACAUCAGGAGUGUCUUCUUCUCUUUUUUCUAUGUCUAGUGAAAUCCUAAUUAUUGUCUGAGGCUCAGCUCUGAUUUUACCUCCUCUAUGAAGUCUGAUACAGAUUUAUUUUUUCACUGCAUUCCAUGAUUCUUCGCUUUGCAUUUGGUUAUAACACUUAAAAAUUGUAUGGUAGUUAUGUGUCUGUCUGUAUUGUGAUAUUAACUGGUAAUUCUUCAGUUAAUGAAAUAAAUGAGCUUAUCAAAAUCAAAUAAAUGCUCAGUUAUAUCAAGUCAGAAUUGCUGCUUUUUAAAAAAUAUUCAGCAAAAUUGUUAUCUCAUAAGGAGAAUUGCACAAUUUCUUCCUCCUCUGUUUCAGCUUGAGUUAGGUAUAUUCCUCUGUUCUUAGCCCACUUUUUGUAUUCAUAUGAUUUGUAUUGAAGUUUUUGAAUAUCAUGAUAUUGAAGCUAUCUGUUUGCCCCACCAAGUUUAAGAUUUUCUGAUGCUUUUGUAUUUCUAGAAACCAGCUCUUCAAGGGCAGAGAAACUCAGCAUAUAUUUAAUUAAGUUGAAUUCAGAUACCAUAUCCUCUCUUGAAGGAUGGCUACAAUAGAUAAAAGCAUGAUAGAAGGUAGUGUGUGGUUAAUGUAGAAAGAUGGGUAAUGUUCCUUACAGUCAACAUAUAUUUACAAUGCUUAUUAUUUGAUUGGCAGUGUAGAGGGGUUCAAGGUGAAAAUGGAAAGAUGAAAGCUGAUAAACUGAGUUGAUGUGGAGGUCUUUCCAGGCAACAAGAAUAGCAUACUCCAAGGUGCAGAGCAACAAAGUCACUGUAUGUAGUUAGGGAAUGGUCAGUAGUUUAGUUUGGCUAGAGUGCUAGUUAUAUAUAGAAAAGUAAUGACAGCUGUGACUGAAAGAGCCAGACUAUGGAGCCAGAUCUUAAAGGGUCUGACAUGCUGUGCUAAUAGAGAGUUUGAUAGUCCUUGUUAGUGAGUUAUUAAGUUAAAACGUUUUAAACUAGAGAAUUACAAGAGACACAUAGAUGGGAUGAAUUAGAAGAGAAAACUAACAUCAGUUUGUUGUUUUCCCAUCCCUUAAUUUUAAGCUUAGUUAAUAGGUUUUAAUUUUACAUUUGACUUUGCUUCUUUUAGCAGAUUUGGUGAAGGAUUAAAUAGAAAUGUAUCCAUUUACAUUACAGAAAAGGAUUUUUUAUUAAGCAAAAAUCUUAGAAUAAUGCUAGAAGGAAGAGACAAUAUUUCCUUUUGCUAAAUAACUUGGAUAAUAUGCCAUGUUUAAAUAUCUAAAUAAGUUGGACUUAGUUUUGUUUCUUUAAGUGGAUAAUUUCAGUCUUCCAGUUUUCAGGGGGAAAAAUAUGUUAAGUACAGAAUUUUACCUAUUUAAAUAAUUAUAUCUUCCAAGUUAUUUUCUACAACUUUGUUUACCAGUAACCAAAAAAAAAAAAAAUGCAUAGGACAAAUAUAAUUAUUAUAUUGCAAGUACAUAUU